UUUAAUAAGCGGUCAUUAAUUAUGCAUUUAUUAAAGUGCAACACAAAUAAUUACAUUUAAAAAGCUUACCAUAUAAAUAUGAGUAAAAUAUUAUUAAAAUAAUCUUUUCAAUUUGUCAAUUUGUCAAUCGGUAAAUCUGUUUAAAAUGAAAUAUUGGAUUUUGUUUGCAAUUAUUAGCAUUGUUAUUAUGCGAAUGACGCAUAUUGUAAUGACUCAAGACAACAGCAAUACAACUCCGCCACCAGAUCCAAAUGGAAACCUUCCAGACCCAUUUAAAGGGGCAUCGCCACCGUUUUAAUGAUGGACAAAAUACGAUCAAUAAAAAUAAGGCAAAAUAGAAUUCCAUGGUCAACUGUUUUAUCUAAAAAUUGUUUUUUAAUUAAAAAAAAUUAAUAAAAAUCUAGAAAUGUAAUAGAUAGCAACAC